rnacentral:lncRNA from 1 species
AGAAGAUCCAGAUGCUGGGGAAAGAGAUUUUCCUCAGUUAGGGGACCAGUUUGCAACCAGAAACCUGGAAGACUUCAGNGUACGCACUUUGUAUGACAAACUGGAGGACCAGAACCUGCAUCUUGCCUCACAGCUUGCGAAACACCGGUCAGAUGUCCUAGUGUUUUACCGGGGCAUCAGCCAGAAGAUCCAGAGCCUUGUGGAUAUGGUCCAGGCCCUGGACAUGGAUGAACUGAGACCCCUCACAAAAGAGCUCCCCAGAAACAGAACUCAGGUCACCUUUGGUUCAUCCAAGGACAUCCAGCCGAGUGAGAACUCCCCAGCAGCAUUUUCUAGAGCCAUGCAAGCUAUGGCGUACUCAGGUGAG